rnacentral:rRNA from 1 species
UACGAAGGGUGCAAGCGUUAAUCGGAAUUACUGGGCGUAAAGCGUGCGUAGGCGGUUUCUUAAGUCUGCUGUGAAAUCCCCGGGCUCAACCUGGGAAUGGCAGUGGAUACUGGGAGGCUAGAGUGUGAUAGAGGAUGGUGGAAUUCCCGGUGUAGCGGUGAAAUGCGUAGAGAUCGGGAGGAACAUCAGUGGCGAAGGCGGCCAUCUGGAUCAACACUGACGCUGAGGCACGAAAGCGUGGGGAGCAAACAGG